rnacentral:rRNA from 1 species
UACGGAGGGUGCGAGCGUUGUCCGGAAUCAUUGGGCGUAAAGGGCGCGUAGGCGGCCCGGUCAGCGUGCGGUGAAAGCUCGGGGCUCAACCCCGAGUCGGCCGUGCGAACUGCUGGGCUUGAGCACUGUAGAGGCAGGCGGAAUUCCGGGUGUAGCGGUGGAAUGCGUAGAGAUCCGGAAGAACACCGGUGGCGAAGGCGGCCUGCUGGGCAGUGGCUGACACUGAGGCGCGACAGCGUGGGGAGCGAACAGG